CGGGAGCUUACCAUGCAGUCGAACGGCAGCACGGACUUCGGUCUGGUGGCGAGUGGCGAACGGGUGAGUAAUGUAUCGGAACGUGCCUAGUAGCGGGGGAUAACUACGCGAAAGCGUAGCUAAUACCGCAUACGCCCUACGGGGGAAAGCAGGGGAUCGCAAGACCUUGCACUAUUAGAGCGGCCGAUAUCGGAUUAGCUAGUUGGUGGGGUAACGGCUCACCAAGGCGACGAUCCGUAGCUGGUUUGAGAGGACGACCAGCCACACUGGGACUGAGACACGGCCCAGACUCCUACGGGAGGCAGCAGUGGGGAAUUUUGGACAAUGGGGGAAACCCUGAUCCAGCCAUCCCGCGUGUGCGAUGAAGGCCUUCGGGUUGUAAAGCACUUUUGGCAGGAAAGAAACGUCAUGGGUUAAUACCCCGUGAAACUGACGGUACCUGCAGA
rnacentral:rRNA from 1 species